rnacentral:rRNA from 1 species
AGAGUUUGAUCCUGGCUCAGGACGAACGCUGGCGGCAGGCUUAACACAUGCAAGUCGAGCGCCCCGCAAGGGGAGCGGCAGACGGGAGAGUAACACGUGGGAACAUACCCUUCAGUUCGGAACAACCCAGGGAAACUUGGGCUAAUACCGAAUACGUCCGUAAGGAGAAAGAUUCAUCGCUGAAGGAUUGGCCCGCGUCU